rnacentral:rRNA from 1 species
GGAGGGUGCGAGCGUUGUCCGGAUUCACUGGGCGUAAAGCGCGCGUAGGCGGCUUUGUAAGUCACCUGUGAAAUCCCGGGGCUCAACUCCGGGGCUGCAGGUGAUACUGCAGAGCUAGGGCUCGGUAGAGGCAAGUGGAAUUCCCGGUGUAGCGGUGGAAUGCGUAGAUAUCGGGAAGAACACCAGUGGCGAAGGCGGCUUGCUGGGCCGAUGCUGACGCUGAGGUGCGAAAGCGUGGGGGGAGCAAACAGGAUUAGAUACCCUGGUAGUCCACGCCGUAAACGAUGGGUACUAGGCGUCGGGGGGGAGCGACCCCUUCGGUGCCGUCGCUAACGCACUAAGUACCCCCGCCUGGGGAGUACGGCCGCAAGGCUG